UUGAAAUCCACACUUAAUUGCUGUUUCUGACUGUCUUCCUUCAUUUUGCUUUCAAAAGUUGUUUGCCUGAGGAUAUACGUGAUUUGGAUCUUUGUCCUCACUUCCCUGACCUUUCCCUCCUGCUUCCCAGCAGCGCUGCCAGAAUCCCAGGUGGAGGAGCACCACGUAGGAGCCACGUGAAUCAGGCACACUGAGAACAGCAGAGCAGUGGG
rnacentral:lncRNA from 1 species